rnacentral:rRNA from 1 species
AUUGAACGCUGGCGGCAGGCCUAACACAUGCAAGUCGAGCGAGCGGCGGACGGGUGCGUAAUGUAUGGGGAUCUGCCCGAUAGAGGGGGAUCACUACGGGAAAGAGUGGCUAAUACCGCAUACCAUUGGAGCGGCCGAUAUCGGAUUAGAUAGUUGGUGGGGUAAAGGCUUACCAAGGCAACGAACCGUAGCUGGUUUGCGAGGCCGACCGGCCACAUUGGGACUGAGACACGGCCCAGACUCCUACGGGAGGCAGCAGUGGGGAAUUUUGGACAAUGGGGGAAACCCUGAUCCAGCCAUCCCGCGUGUAUGAGAAGGCCUUCGGGUUGUAAAGUUCUUGUGGCAGAGAAGCGGUAUCUGCAGAAUAAGCACCGGCUAACUACGUGCCAGCAGCCGCGGUAAUAC